rnacentral:lncRNA from 1 species
ACAACUGCCAGCAGGCAGAAGGGAAGGCAUAAUUAAUGGGCACCCUUCAGCAGAGCUCAGAGCAGACCAAACGCCAAUGCAGAAGGCUCAAGAAAGAGGCAAACAGACUAGCCACUGCUCCAGGAUGACUGUGGCUCUUUAUGAGUGAAGAGAAAGGGUGGAGACUGAAGACAGAACUGGGGACAGUGACAGGCUUGGGGAAGAACAGCUGAUUCAGCAGUCCCAAGCAUCUGAACACAAGGUGGACAUUCUCCAGGGUGACAUCGCAAAAUACAUGGGUGAAGACAACCUAGUGGCCGUGACUUGGAGCACCCUUCCUCACAAUGAAGGCAUUCUGGGCCAGCCUGAAAAACAGCAUGGAAAUAAAUCACCUAAGUACAAGCAGUUUGAUGGGUCCACGUGCCAGCAAGAUAGAGAUACUCAUCAGGAAGUUGGCCAUGCAAGUUUGAAAUUUGAGAGAAGAAUCACAAAAAUGCAAAGGCUGUGCUCAAAUAAAAAUGAACUCCUUUGGUAAAGUCCUGGUCUUCAAUUCACUAAUGUUAAGGUGGGAACCAUCCCAUUACUCUGGAAUGUAUGUUCUUAAAUCAAGUGAUCAGAUUUUCUUACAUUGGUAGAGGCAAAGGAAUGGGAAUCAUAUACUAAUGGAUUUUAUACAAAACACAGCAUAAAAAAAUUACCAUAACACUUUUAAGAUUAAAA